CUCUGAAAACCCUUCCAAAAUUAAUGUGGUGACAUCCACUCUAUACAAGGAUUCUCCUCCCCCAUCCUCAUCUUAAAAUAGAGUGUUCCCUCUUUUGUCUUACCCUUCAUAAUAGAAGAGAUUCAUGGGGAGCAACAGAGGAUCAUAGAAUCAGUGCAAGAACUUCGAUUUAGGGUUGAAGAACUCUCUAAUCAAGUUCUUUUUGCCACGGACCACAUCAAGGAAGAAAUAAUAUAAAACAUUUAGUCAACUUAUUAUGUUUUUUUAUUUCAUGAAAUUGUAAAUUAUAUUUAUGACUAUUCAUCUAUUUUGAAAAAUGACUUUUUUUUUCUUUCCUUUGAUUCUUAUUUUGUAAAGAAUGGCUUGUGAGCAGUGAGCAGUAAUGUGAUUCAUAUUAGCGUGUGUCGCUACUUUGGUUUUGUAUUUUAAUAUUUUAUUCAGUUCAUGUGUUGUUAGUUCUUCAACUAUGUUAUUGACUUGCAGGUAAUCUGAAUUAUACGAUGGAUGAGCUGAUGAGUAUGAUAUUGAAUAUGGACCAGCAGUUUGAUGCUCAAGACACUCAGUUUAGGAAGAUGAAGGCAUCGAUUCAAAGGUGAAAAACUCCACAGCCAUCAACAUGUCCCUUCACAUUACUUCUCAUCCCUCUACCAUGGUGAUUUUUCCACCCCUAACCCAAAUUCUCCUUCAAAACCGGAUGGCAUUUAUGAUGAUUAGUGAUGUUUUUAAUUUUGUGCAAUUUUGUUUUGUCUAUGACAUUGUGUUUUAGACACAUUUUGAUUUUGGUUUGUAAUAAUUUUGAUUUCUGACUGGUUUUCCUUGGUACACGCCCUUUUUGAAGUUGUCAAAAGGGGACAAACUUAUGUUGUGUAUGUUGCGUGUUAUGUUAUGUUUGCUUCAUGAUGAUGUAUUAUGUUUGUUUAUGCUUGUUA